rnacentral:tRNA from 1 species
GCAGUCGUGGCCGAGUGGUUAAGGCGAUGGACUAGUUAUCCAUUGGGGUCUCCCCGCACAGGUUCAAAUCCUGUCGACUGCG